rnacentral:tRNA from 1 species
GCUGGAGUUGUAGCUCAGUGGUAGAGCACUUGCCUAGCAUGUUUGAGGCACUGGGUUCAAUUCUCAGCAUGGCA